CCUUCGGGUGGCAGCAGUGGGGAAUAUUGGACAAUGGGGGGAACCCUGAUCCAGCCAUGCCGCGUGUGUGAAGAAGGCCCUCGGGUUGUAAAGCACUUUCAGUGAGGAAGAACGCCUGGUGGUUAAUACCCAUCAGGAAAGACAUCACUCACAGAAGAAGCACCGGCUAACUCAGUGCCAGCAGCCGCGGUAAUACGGAGGGUGCGAGCGUUAAUCGGAAUUACUGGGCGUAAAGCGCGCGUAGGUGGCUUGAUAAGCCGGUUGUGAAAGCCCCGGGCUCAACCUGGGAACGGCAUCCGGAACUGUCAAGCUAGAGUGCAGGAGAGGAAGGUAGAAUUCCCGGUGUAGCGGUGAAAUGCGUAGAGAUCGGGAGGAAUACCAGUGGCGAAGGCGGCCUUCUGGACUGACACUGACACUGAGGUGCGAAAGCGUGGGUAGCAAACAGGAUUAGAUACCCUUGUAGUC
rnacentral:rRNA from 1 species